rnacentral:lncRNA from 1 species
CGGCCGCGCGCCGCGGGGGGGAGGAGACGGUCUGGAGUCCCCCGCUGCGCAGGGGAUGGGGAGACGGAGGACUGCAGCGCCCCUUGGGGCUUCUGAUGCGCCCAGGUAAUCUCACCUGGCCGCCAGCCUCCCGCAGGAGGAACAGACACGCUGGUUCCACACCGAGCCUGUUAACAGCUCGACUUCCAAUAUUUGGCAGAGGUGGGAUCGCUGUUCACUAAGGUUUUAUGAGCCAACUUGGUUACUCAAAUGUGAAAAUGCAUUUUUUUUCAAUCCUCUCUUUCCCAUUAUGUGUUCAGCUCUACACCCUGGAUGCUUAUCUUUACUGGUGACUUCUCUGAGACUGCACUCAGUUUUGACCCAUACGAUGUCCUAGCAAGUUUAAAGGAUAGAAGGACUGUGAGGUC